rnacentral:rRNA from 1 species
UACGAAGGGUGCAAGCGUUACUCGGAAUUACUGGGCGUAAAGCGUGCGUAGGCGGUUUGUUAAGUCUGUCGUGAAAGCCCUGGGCUCAACCUGGGAAUUGCGAUGGAUACUGGCAAGCUGGAGUACGGUAGAGGAUGGUGGAAUUCCCGGUGUAGCGGUGAAAUGCGUAGAGAUCGGGAGGAACACCCGUGGCGAAGGCGGCCAUCUGGACCAGCACUGACACUGAGGCACGAAAGCGUGGGGAGCAAACAGG